rfam:Dysgonomonas mossii DSM 22836 genomic scaffold supercont1.1, whole genome shotgun sequence.
AACUUUGUCACAGGUUUUGGUGUCAUUUACUAUAUCCAUAGAAAAUGAUGAAAAGGGAAUCAGGUGAAAGUCCUGGACAGACCCGCUGCUGUAAGCUCCUCCAAAGACUUUGAACAAUACUCUAUCCACUGUUCUUACACUGAAUGGGAAGGAUGCUCAAAGAUAAAGUAAGUCAGAAGACCUGCCAGAACCGUGUAAUUUGA